rnacentral:lncRNA from 1 species
GGACCUAUAUUGAUUAGUUUUUGAUAUAAUAUUAAUAUUGGUAGAGUAAAGUAGACUUUUCUACCAAUAGCCUUCCCUAAAAAGGGGUAUUGGAGGAAGUAGAAACAAGGAAAAUGCUACUUGGGAAAACCUAGGGUUAAUCACAAAGCAAGGAGAUGAAGAAUUUCAAGCAUAAAGGCUUCAAGAAAUUCAAGGAUUUGUGGUUACCCAUUCAUAGGAAUCUUGUGACCAAGUUUAAAUUGAGUUCAUCAUCUACUAGCUAAAGGAUUUCAAGGUAACAUAGGAUUUCUCCUUAAAAACCUUUCUUAGGGUGUUGGAAACGUCUUUAACUAGAGGUUGUUGAGUUUAUAUAGGUAUUGAGAUACGUUAUGAACACGUUUAAUUGUGUUAAUGGAAGGAGUAAGUGCUUACUCAAUUGUUAAUCUCUAGUAUAUGAUACCUAAUUAUUAUAGUUAUAUGAAUAUAAUACAUGUGAAAGUAAUGUAGUGAGGUAUGUUGUUAAUUCACUGUAGCUAAGUGAAUUUUCAUGAUAAUGGGUAUUGUAUGGUAUGGUGGGACACUACUUGCAGGGAAAUAUGUCCAAUAUUACCCUAUAGGUAUAAUAUGGUAAGUAGGGGUACUACCUAUAGGACUUAAUUAUGUUCAAUAUUACCCAAAUAUGUUCACCGACAUGGUAUGGUGACGGAGAAAUCCGCCAUGGUCCUUAAGACGCUGUUGUCAGCAUGGUCUAGAUCCUUAAAUUACUCACGUUUGAGGGUUUAGGCAUAACAAAGUUAAGAAGGUAUUAUACGUAUAUGUACAUAUUACUAUGAUUUUUUAAGUGUAAUG